UGCAGAGGGUGCGAGCGUUAAUCGGAGUUACUGGGCGUAAAGGGCGCGUAGGCGGUUGUGUAAGUGAGAUGUGAAAUCCCUGGGCUUAACCUAGGAACUGCAUCUUAUACUGCAUGGCUUGAGUACUGUAGAGGGUAGUGGAACUUCCGGUGUAGCGGUGAAAUGCGUAGAGAUCGGAAGGAACACCAGUGGCGAAGGCGGCUACCUGGACAGAUACUGACGCUGAGGCGCGAAAGCGUGGGGAGCAAACAGG
rnacentral:rRNA from 1 species